rnacentral:rRNA from 1 species
UACGUAGGGUGCAAGCGUUAAUCGGAAUUACUGGCCGUAAAGCGUGCGCAGGCGGUUUUGUAAGUUUGGCGUGAAAUCCCUGGGCUUAACCUGGGAAUUGCGUUGGAGACUGCAAGGCUAGAAUCUGGCAGAGGGGGGUAGAAUUCCACGUGUAGCAGUGAAAUGCGUAGAGAUGUGGAGGAACACCGAUGGCGAAGGCAGCCCCCUGGGUCAAGAUUGACGCUCAUGCACGAAAGCGUGGGGAGCAAACAGG